AGUGCCCUCGGGAUUUACUGCGCGUACCCUGCUCUCCGACUGUGUGGAGGUGUUAGUGGCCUGUGGAGCGCGGUGGAUGUGGGCAGCAAGCUCCGAGGAGCCCGGUUGACCUGUCGCUCAAGUGAAGCCGGCAGAAAUCCCCGAGGAGCUUUGGAAACCUGCGGUUUAGGUGGAGCCGGCGUCGCCUGGCCCGCGAGCGUGAGCGAGUUUCCUAGUAGCUGGCGCCUUGGGGACUGAAUCAACGACUCCUCCGCUUUUUAAGUUUUUUUAGGGUGUGGAAAAAGCCCGGACUCAGCCUUAGCUUCCAAAGCUGCAGAAACAGGACACCUUUAACAGCUGACUCUUGUAUCAUCAUCUUUACCCCAUUGUCAUCUGUUUUUCAAAAUGUAAUUUGAACCAGCUGUAUCAAAUCUACCUGUGGCAGUUGUUCAAAAUGCAGGUCCCUGAGCCCUGCCCCGGCAUGCCUCCUAAAGCCCAAGGUUUUAACCCCCACUAGAGUUUGAAAUUAAACCCUAUACUACACAGCAGAGAAGAACCUGGGAAGAGGCUCAGUGCUCUAGGAAAUAUAAUUCCUGAGCCUUUGGUAGUAUCUUGACCUGGACCAGCAAAACUGACAGGGAGCUAGCACCGCAGAAGUACUGUGCUUGUUGAUACCGAAGACUUUGACAGUGGAGACAUAGCUAUCCUGAUGACUCGGGCACAUUGAGUCAUAGCCCAGCAGAUUUACUGCAUUAUUAAGUAUGAGCUAAUAUGCUAUGUGAAGCAAAGAAGCCCUGUAUUUACUGCCACGCCGAGUUGAUACUCUCCUCCCUGGUAAUUACUCAAAUCAGCAGCUAGGUUUUUGGUAGGUUAUUGCUCAGACUCUUUGACCCUCCCCAAAGUCAUAAAUAUGAAUAGUACCUGGGUUUCUCGACUUGAAUCCCAGUUUAUAUGCCAGCUGAGAAAAGAAUAAAUGUUUUAGAAGCAUGCGGUGAUCCAAAUUGAAGGAAGUUUGGACUAUGGUUUUGUAAGACUAGUUUUUCCUUCAGACACUAUUAGAUUGCUUUUGUAGAAGAAGCCAACAGAGGAGAGAUCCAUGUGUAUGGACAGAGCUAGAGUGAUUGGUGCUUCAACAGCAGUCUCUUCAACUUUGCUUGAGUGUGGAGGCCACACAGAUCACAAACUCCAUUGGCUGCAAGAUACCUUUGCUCAAAAGGAGCUAACCACUGCACUGUUCCUCAGCAUAUCAAAGCUAAGCUGAAUUGUAUGCUACUAACGAUUUGGAAAGAUGAAAGAGAUUAACAGCACAAAGAUGCCAAUAAUUUUAAAUAUGAUCUUUAAAAAAAACUGCAUUCUUAAAAUGAGAGAGAUACACUCAAGGAAGAAGCAACUGCUCCAUACAUUAGCAUGUCCAAAAAUGAUAAUUAGACCUGCUGAGCUAUCUUUGCAACCAGAGAGGAACCAGCUUGAAAACAAAGCCGACACAAUGAGACGACAGCAGAAAAUGAAAAGAACUUGAGUCUUCAAUGAUGAUAAUGAAGUGAUGGACUAAACCUGGAGGGAGAAUACCUACUAUGGGCUUCCUGUCAUCUAAGGUAAUACAUGCCUUUGCUGUUUAAACCAGUGUUUAUUUUCUGUACAAGCUUCAUAAUUGGGCUUAGGUACCUGUUAACCCCUUAGAAUGUCCUUUUAUGCUUUUCAUGAUUUUGCUGAAGUCAUCUGAGAAUAACAGAAAAGCACAUUUUCUGAUUCCAUCCCCUUAGAUAUGACUUUGGGUCUCUCACUCUGAAUGAUCAUGGUUAAUAAAGCAUAGAAAGCACUGAGAAGAGUAGAAGGUAAGUAGAUAGGAUAAGAUAUCUGAUGAAGGAGAUGAUCCUGAUAAGGUAAGGUGAAAUGUGAAAGUUAGGCAGGAGAUGCAAGUGAGAAAAGAAAGAAGGUGGCUAUUCUGGGAAGACUCUUAGAAAGCCAGUCUUAGGGACAUAUGAACCACAUAUUUGGGAAGAGUUGUGAAUCUCACAUUAUAGUAAUGGCAUCACUUCAAUCCAUGUUAUCCUCUCAUGGGGAAAAAAAUCAGUGUUCAUGGGAUAUCAGAGAAUUCAUGCUUGUUUUCUUCAGAAACAGACUAAAUGUCUCAUGAUGACAGGAUGAUUUUAAAAUGAAAGGCUUGAUAUUAAUUAUCCUGUAAACGUCUGAGCGGUCCAUAGCAUUGCUUUCUUUCAGCCUGGCACAAGUCUCAUAAACUAGAAGAUGACCUUAACACUCAAUCUGUGGUAGUUCUCCCCCAUGACCUCUUACCCUUUUCUAAACAUCUUCAUAAAGGCGUGGUAAUAUUUCUUCUGUGAAUCAUAUGAGAGCUUUUCACAUGGAUUUAAACAGUAAAUCUAACAAUAGGCUUUUUUUUGCCUGAUCACUCAGGGGCAUUUACUUAUUCUUAUAUUUUAGACAUUUGAGAAAAAAUAAUUCCUAAAAAUAUUAUAUUCAAUUGUAUUUGAAGCCAUAAAGAGGAAGGAAAUAAUAAAUUAGAGUAGAAAUAAAUGAAGUAGAGAGUUGAUAAACAAUAAAGAGAAUCAAUGAAACCAAAAAUUGAUUAUUUGAGAAAAAUCAACAAAUUGACAAAUCUAAAGAUUAAGAAAAAAGAGAAAUACUCAAAUUACUAAAAUCAGAAAUUAAAGAGGGUACAUUACUACUGACUUUACACCAUUAUAAGAGAGUAUUAUGAACAACUGUAUACUAACAAAUUAGAUGACUUGGAUGAAAUGGACAAAUUCAUAGAAAGACACACACUACCAAAACUAACUAAAGAAAUGGAAAAUCUGAAUGGACCUUUAACAAGUAAGGAGGUUGAAUCAGCAGUCAAAAAUCUCCCAACACAGAAAAACCUUGGGCCAGAUAGAUGGCUUCAUUGUGAUUUCUACUAACAUUUAAAGAAUUAACAUGAAUACUCAAACUCUUCCAAUAAACAGAAUAGGAAAGAAUACUUCUUAACUCAUUGUAUGAGGCUGACAUUACCAUGAUACUAAAGCCAGACAAAAACACUACAAAAUAAGAAAAGUACAAACCAGAUUUCCUUGUGAAUGUAGAUAUGAAACUCCUCAACAAAUGCUAGCAAAUAGAAUUCAGCAGCAUGUUAAUAGGAUUUUAUGCCAUAACUGAAGGGGAUUUAUCCCAGAAAUGCAAGAGAAGUUUAACAUACAAAAUCAAUGAAUGCAAUUCACCACAUUAAUAGAAUGAAGGAGGGGAACCACAUGGCCAUCUCAAUUGAUGUCGAAAAGCAUUUGCAAAAUCCGACAUGCCUUUUGAUAAAAGCACUCAGUAAACUAGGAUCAGAAGGGAACUUUCUCAGCAUGAUAAUGGGUACAUAUUUUAAAACUCCAAGGUAACAUCAGCAUCAAGGGGAAAAAACUAAAAGUUUUUCCUCUAAAAUUAGGAGCAAGACAGAAUUCCUGCUUUUGCCACUUCUAUUCAACAUAGUAUUGGCAGUUCUGGCCAGAGUAAUUAGGCAAGAAAGAGAAAUAAAAUGUAUCCAGAUUGGAAAGGAAAAAGUAAAACUGUCUCUAUUUACAGAUUACAUGAAUGUAGAAAGCCCUAAAGAAUACACACAUAUACCCCUUUUAGAGCUAAUUAGUGAAUUCAGCAAAGUUUCAAGAUAAAAAAUCAACACACAAAACCAGUUGAAUUUCUGUACACCAGCAAUGAAAAAUCUGAAAAGGAAAUUAAGGACACAAUUCUGUUUUAUAAUAGCAUCCAAAAGAGUAAAAUAUUUAAGAAUAAAUUUAACCAAUGAGGCACAAAACUUGUACACCGAAAACUAUAAAACAUUGCUGAAAGAAAUCAAAGAAUAUCUAAAUAAAUAGAAAGAUAUUCUAUGUUCAUGGAUUGGAAUACUUAAUAUUGUUAAAAUGAAAAUAUUGGAGUUCCUGUUGUGGCUCAGCGGAAACGAAUCUGACUAGCAUCCAUGAGGACACAGGUUCAAUCCCUGCCCUCACUCAGUGGGUUAAGGAUCCGCCAUUGCCAUGAGCUGUGGUGUAGGUCACAGAUGUGGCUUGGCUCUGGCGUUGCUGUGGCUAUGGCGUAGGCCAGGGGCUAUUGCUCCAAUUCGACAUCUAGUCUGGGAACCUCCAUAUGCCAGGAGUGUAGCCCUUAAAAAGACAGAAAAAAAAAAAAAAAAAGAAAGAAGAAAAUACUACCCUCACACAAUAUGUAGAUUCUGUAUAACCACUGCCAAAAUCCCAAUAGCACUUUUUGCAAAAUUGGAAAACUCCAUUAUAAAAUUCAUAUGGAAUUUCAAGGGGUCCAGAAUAGCCAAAACAGUCUGAAAAAGAAGAAAACUGUUGAACUCACACUUCCUGAUGUGAAAAGUUGUUAAAAUCUACCAUAACGAAAACAGUGUGAUACUUGCAUAAGGAUAGACAUAUAGACCAAUGGAAUAGAACUGAGGGCAUAGAAGUAACCCUUAGAUCUCUGGUCAUUUGAUCUUUGACAAGGUUGCCAAGACCAUUCAAUGAGAAAAGGAUAGUCUACUAAGAAAUGGUGCUAAGAUAUCCAUGUUCAAACGUAUGAACCCUUAUCUUAAACCAAAUACAAAUAUUAACUCAAAGUGUAUCAAUACUUAAAUGUAAAAGCUAUAAACUCUUAAGAUUAAAUACUAUAAAACUAUCAUAGGAAAACAUAGGAAAAAAUCUUUAUGAACUUGCAUUUGAUAAUGGUUUCUUAAGUAUGACACCAAAAGCAUGAACCACAAAAUAAACAAUAGAAAAAUUGGACUUCAUCAAAAUUAAAAACUGCUGUGCAUCAAAGGAUACUAUCAAGAGAUUGAAAAGACAACCCAUGGAAUGAGAGAAAAUAAUAGAAAAUCAUGUCUGGUAAGAGACUAACAUCCAAAAUAUAUAAAGAAUCCUACAACUCAACAACAAAAAGACAACCUACGUUUUAAAAUGAAUGAAGCAUUAAGAUAGCUAUUUCUCAAAAAAUAUAUAUACAAAUGGGCAAUAAGCAUAUUAAAAAAACACAAUGAAAUAUCAUGUCACACCUACUAGGAUGGUUAAUUUUUUAGUGAAAAUAACUAAUGUUGGUGAAAAUGUGGAGAAAACAGAACCCUAGUACGUUGCUGGUGGGAAUGUAAAAUGGCACAGCUGCUGUAGAAACCAGUGUGACAAUUCCUCAAAAAGUUAAUCAUAGAAUUACCUUAUUAUCCAACAAUUCCACUCCUAGGUAUAUACCCAAAAGAGCUGAAAACAAGGGCUCUGGAGUUCCUGUUGUGGCACAGCCAAAGCAAAUCUGACUAGUAUCCAUGAGGAUGCAGGUUUGAUCCCUGGCCCCACUCAUUGGCUCAGGAAUCUGGCGUUGCCACGUACUGUGGUAUAGGUUGCACACGUGGCUUGGAUCCCAUCUUGCUGUGGCUGUGGCUUAGGCCAGCAGCUGUUGCUCCAAUUCGACACUUAACCUGGGAACUUCCACAUGCUGUGGGUGUGGCCCUAAA
rnacentral:lncRNA from 1 species